AUUGAACGCUGGCGGAAUGCUUUACACAUGCAAGUCGAACGGCAGCACGGACUUCGGUCUGGUGGCGAGUGGCGAACGGGUGAGUAACAUAUCGGAACGUAUCCAAUAAUAGGGGAUAACGAGUCGAAAGAUUCGCUAAUACCGCAUACGCCCUACGGGGGAAAGCUGGGGACCUUCGGGCCUGGCGCUAAUGGAGAGGCCGAUAUCUGAUUAGCUAGUUGGUGAGGUAAAGGCUCACCAAGGCGACGAUCAGUAGCUGGUCUGAGAGGACGACCAGCCACACUGGAACUGAGACACGGUCCAGACUCCUACGGGAGGCAGCAGUGGGGAAUUUUGGACAAUGGGCGCAAGCCUGAUCCAGCCAUUCCGCGUGAGUGAAGAAGGCCUUCGGGUUGUAAAGCUCUUUCGCAAGGGAAGAAAACUUAGCCACUAACAUUGGUUGAGGUUGACGGUACCUUGAUAAGAAGCACCGGCUAACUACGUGCCAGCCGCCGCGGUAA
rnacentral:rRNA from 1 species